ACAGGUACGUGGGCGGGCGGAUCGUGGUGGCUGCGCUUGCGAGGACCCUGAGGUGGCAAUUGAAGCCGGAAGAACAUCUACCAAGAGCAGAGAACCCAGGAAGAAAAUUCUGCCUCUUUAAUACGUUCCAAUAUGGACGUUUUCCAUAUAGAUACCUAUCUAUAUAGAUAGAUGCUCUGGGAUCUGACGGUCCUGGACACCUGUAUGGCUGUGUGCUGUGGUCUUUGCCUAGCCUGCGGUUCACUUUUGCUCUGGCCACCACCUCCCCUCAUGUACAAACCGCGUCUCUGCUCUGCCAGUCUUGGCCCCCGUCAGGCAGCGGUUCACUCCCUCACCAGGGAAGUCUAGAUAGAUAGAUAUAGAUAGAUAUCGAUCGAUAGAUAUAGAUAUAUAUAUAGAUAGAUAGAUAGGUAGAUAUAUGGAUAGAUAUAGAUAUUUGGAUAGAUAUGUAGACGUCUAUCUAUAAAUAUAUCGAUAUAUCGGGGUUCUCAGCCAUCCCAAAGAAGCUUGCACAGGGCCAGUUGCUUUAUGUCAGGAAAAGGGACACAGACUGAGUGUAUGAGGGUUUUUUUUUUCUAUAGAUGUAUAGAUAUUUAUAUCAGAUGCAAAUAAGUGAAACUCUCAUACAACUUUUAAUUUUGUGUUUUUUCCAAACUCUAUUCCAUUCAACUUUUUCUGCCUUUUUAUUUGAUUAUAAUGAGACAUCGUACUGGAGGCAGGCUUGAAAUGGAUAUACAGAGCACUUUCAACCCAGAAAUUUGUCUCACGACUUGGGGUCCUUACUUAAGUUGUAGCUGUUAGUAAUUUCAUCCAUGAAUUCACUUUGUGCCAUAGUGUGAUGUUUUGUUAUGAAGUUGGAAUUGGGAAGGGAAACUAGGAAGUUUUGGGAGAAGUUAAGAAGGUUGAGUAGGCAGGCGUUGUUAUAGAUAUUAAAUUUCACCCUGCUUAUCAAAGUACCUGGAGCGUAUGGUAUCCAAGCUGUAAAUGGCCCAAAGGAAUCGGGGUUCUCAGCCAUCCAAAAGAAGCAUGCACAGGGCCAGUUAUUUUAUGUCAGGAAAGGGGACACAGACUGAGUGUAUGAGGGUUUUUUUUUUUGUUUUUUUUUUUUAGUUUAAACUUGAUUUUGUGAGGGGACGAACAGCGUGACAAUUAAAAGAAGAUCUGGGAAUCGUAAGUACUGACAGAAUACCUGGAGGGAAGGUGGGACUGGAGAAUAGUUUGUGAAACAGAUCCUGCUGAGGAUGAAUCCAGAACUUCCUGAAGGGUUCCGCUUCUGCUGUGUAGGGACAAGGUUGUAAAUAGACAAGCCACAGGCACCUGCAAAUGGUAAGUGUGGUAGAGAGGGGCUGGAAUUGCCUGUUGGUGUAUCUGUGGGAAGCAGCUGCUAUCCUUGAGGAAGAAAAGA
rnacentral:lncRNA from 10 species